AGAGAUGGGAAAAGGUGUUGAAACUGAUUCGUAAUCAGUAGGUCGGAGGUUCGACUCCUCUCGUCAGCACCA
rnacentral:tRNA from 1 species